CGGACGGGUGAGUAAUGUCUGGGAAACUGCCUGAUGGAGGGGGAUAACUACUGGAAACGGUAGCUAAUACCGCAUAACGUCGCAAGACCAAAGUGGGGGACCUUCGGGCCUCAUGCCAUCAGAUGUGCCCAGAUGGGAUUAGCUAGUAGGUGGGGUAACGGCUCACCUAGGCGACGAUCCCUAGCUGGUCUGAGAGGAUGACCAGCCACACUGGAACUGAGACACGGUCCAGACUCCUACGGGAGGCAGCAGUGGGGAAUAUUGCACAAUGGGCGCAAGCCUGAUGCAGCCAUGCCGCGUGUGUGAAGAAGGCCUUCGGGUUGUAAAGCACUUUCAGCGGGGAGGAAGGCG
rnacentral:rRNA from 1 species